rnacentral:rRNA from 1 species
GCAUAUCAAUAAGCGGAGGAAAAGAAACCAACAGGGAUUGCCUCAGUAACGGCGAGUGAAGCGGCAAAAGCUCAAAUUUGAAAUCUGGUACCUUCGGUGCCCGAGUUGUAAUUUGAAGAUUGUACUCUGGAGUUGGCCCUUGUCUAUGUUCCUUGGAACAGGACGUCACAGAGGGUGAGAAUCCCGUGCGAUGGGGUGUCCAAUUCCAUGUAGAGUGCUAUCGAAGAGUCGAGUUGUUUGGGAAUGCAGCUCUAAGUGGGUGGUAAAUUCCAUCUAAAGCUAAAUAUUGGCGAGAGACCGAUAGCGAACAAGUACAGCGAUGGAAAGAUGAAAAGAACUUUGAAAAGAGAGUGAAAAAGUACGUGAAAUUGUUGAAAGGGAAGGUUAUUAGAUCAGACUUGGUGUUUGGCGAUAUUCAGUCUCUUGUAGGCUGUUCACUCGUCUUUCACUGGGCCAGCAUCGGUUUGGAUGGCAGGAUAAUGGCUGUUGAACGUGGCUCUUCGGAGUGUUAUAGCUUCAGCUGAUACUGCCUAUCUAGACCGAGGACUGCGGCUUUCGAGCCUAGGAUGCUGGCGUAAUGAUCUAAUAUCGCCCGUCUUGAAACACGGACC